CUGUAAACUUUUAGUUACAAGUUUAUCAAGACAUCGCUAUGGAUUUCUCAAAACUCAAUAAAAUGAAUUAAAAGAGAAUAAGAAAUUAAACUGUCGUCACCCGAUAACAGUCUUCUUCUAAUUCCCUUAGUUUUUAGCCUCCAAAUCUCCUUCUCCUCCUCUCACGGACAUGAGAAAAAUGAUACUGGCGAGAACUCCUCCUCUCCAGAAACCUAAUUCCUCUCAUUUAUUAUCAUUCAUUCAGACUUUCCAGGACUCAACCUUCUCUCAAAUAGUAACCUUCCUCUAAUGGAGUAACCUUCCUCAACUGGGUUCUCUUGAGUAAGUAAGAAGGGGUGAAUAAAUAUGUAGAUCGAUCAAAAAAAAGGGGAGGAUGGGAUGGAACCAGUAAAGGGAUUUAGGGAGUCUAUAUUAUGGUUCUUAAUAAUUCUUUAAAUCUGUUUUUAUUUAUUUUAAAUCUUAUCUUCUACUAUUGUUGUGUUUGCUUGUCUGAGGAAAUAGAUCGACUUCACAGACCUUGGGACCCUGAUGUUUUAAUGGGUAGAAAGGUGGUGAUCUUUUUCUUGAGUUCUGAGAAAAAACAUAGCAGUUGUUUUGUUUUCUUUUCUAUUGUGUUUUCCAUUAUGUUUCUGUGUUUAUUGCUGUUGUCUGAGAAUCUCAAGGAUUCCGGUCGGUUUUCCAUUGAUAAAUUUAAACCCCAUUACUAA